rnacentral:rRNA from 1 species
GACGGAGGGUGCUAGCGUUGUUCGGAAUUACUGGGCGUAAAGGGCGCGUAGGCGGCCUGAUCAGUCGGGUGUGAAAGCCCCCGGCUCAACUGGGGAGGGUCACGCGAUACUGAUCGACUCGAAGGCAGGAGAGGGUAGUGGAAUUCCCGGUGUAGUGGUGAAAUGCGUAGAUAUCGGGAGGAACACCAGUGGCGAAGGCGACUACCUGGCCUGUUCUUGACGCUGAGGCGCGAAAGCUAGGGGAGCAAACGGG